rnacentral:rRNA from 1 species
ACGGGAGGCAGCAGUGGGGAAUAUUSCACAAUGGGCGCAARCCUGAUGCAGCAACGCCGCGUGRGGGAUGACGRCCUUCGGGUUGUAAACCUCUUUUAGCAGGGAAGAAGCGAAAGUGACGGUACCUGCMRAAAAAGCGCCGGCUAACUACGUGCCAGCAGCCGCGGUAAUACGUAGGGCGCAAGCGUUAUCCGGAAUUAUUGGGCGUAAAGAGCUCGUAGGCGGUUUGUCGCGUCUGCUGUGAAAUCCCGAGGCUCAACCUCGGGCCUGCAGUGGGUACGGGCAGACUAGAGUGCGGUAGGGGAGAUUGGAAUUCCUGGUGUAGCGGUGGAAUGCGCAGAUAUCAGGAGGAACACCGAUGGCGAAGGCAGAUCUCUGGGCCGUAACUGACGCUGAGGAGCGAAAGGGUGGGGAGCAAACAGGCUUAGAUACCCUGGUAGUCCACCCCGUAAACGUUGGGAACUAGUUGUGGGGUCCAUUCCACGGAUUCCGUGACGCAGCUAACGCAUUAAGUUCCCCGCCUGGGGAGUACGGCCGCAAGGCUAAAACUCAAAGGAAUUGACGGGGACCCGCACAAGCGGCGGAGCAUGCGGAUUAAUUCGAUGCAACGCGAAGAACCUUACCAAGGCUUGACAUAUACGAGAACGGGCCAGAAAUGGUCAACUCUUUGGACACUCGUAAACAGGUGGUGCAUGGUUGUCGUCAGCUCGUGUCGUGAGAUGUUGGGUUAAGUCCCGCAACGAGCGCAACCCUCGUUCUAUGUUGCCAGCACGUAAUGGUGGGAACUCAUGGGAUACUGCCGGGGUCAACUCGGAGGAAGGUGGGGAUGACGUCAAAUCAUCAUGCCCCUUAUGUCUUGGGCUUCACGCAUGCUACAAUGGCCGGUACAAAGGGCUGCAAUACCGUGAGGUGGAGCGAAUCCCAAAAAGCCGGUCCCAGUUCGGAUUGAGGUCUGCAACUCGACCUCAUGAAGUCGGAGUCGCUAGUAAUCGCAGAUCAGCAACGCUGCGGUGAAUACGUUCCCGGGUCUUGUACACACCGCCCGUCAAGUCAUNAAAGUCGGUAACACCNGAAGCCGGU